AGAAUCAACGCUGGCGGCGUGCCUAACACAUGCAAGUCGCACGAGAAAGGGACUUCGGUCCUGAGUAAAGUGGCGCACGGGUGAGUAACACGUGAAUCAUCUACCUCCGAGUGGGGAAUAACCUAGAGAAAUCUGGGCUAAUACCGCAUAACACUUACGAGUCAAAGCAGCAAUGCGCUUGGAGAGGAGUUCGCGGCAGAUUAGUUAGUUGGCGGGGUAAUGGCCCACCAAGACGAUGAUCUGUAUCCGGCCUGAGAGGGCGCACGGACACACUGGAACUGAAACACGGUCCAGACUCCUACGGGAGGCAGCAGUGGGGAAUUUUGCGCAAUGGGGGAAACCCUGACGCAGCAACGCCGCGUGGAGGAUGAAGUCCCUUGGGACGUAAACUCCUUUCGAUCGGGACGAUAAUGACGGUACCGAGAGAAGAGCCCCGGCUAACUUCGUGCCAGCAGCCGC
rnacentral:rRNA from 1 species